AUACCCUUUCACAUUCAGCUUCCUGAAAAACACCCUUUCUUCCUUCAUGCUGCUCAAUUAGCAUUUCCUGCAGCUCUUAAUGGUACUACUGAAUGAAAAAACUGGCUUGGAGAAGGAAAGAGCUCAGCUGGUUGCAGGAACUUGUCCAUAGGAAACACCAGGUUGAAGGGGGUGAGGGUGGGCAAUGCCUUCUUCCCCUUCCUUCUCUGCUCCCUUCAGGGCAUGGGCGAGAUCACUCACCCGAUGGCGGCAGGGCUGCCUAUCGACAGUUCGGCCUUCCGCUACCCGAGUCUAAGGGAAGGCCGAGUCGCAGAUGAGGAGGUGGAGGAGGCGGAGCGGCCUGUGAUCAUGAGGCUCCAUUUUUAGCCGCCAUUUCGGAAAAAAAAGCCACCUGUCUAGAAGGAAAGUUCAUUUCCAGUUCUACUGAUUUUGAGAGUCAGCUAGUUGUUGGAGGUCAUGUUGUAAAUCUGCCUGUGAAGACAAGAUGAGAAAGUGUUCGCCGUCAAUUGAAAUCCCGCCUUUAAAUUUGAUUUUUCGGAAGAGGUUUUCUAAUGUUGCUGCAAAUAGUUUUGGGAAUAUUGUUUCUCUUGGCGCACUCCUUUGUUUAUUCCGAUCUUGAAUAGACUACUGCAACACACUCUAGAUCUGAUGUGGCAAUCUUUUAUAGUCUGAAGCAUAUAUUGUUUGCUAAGCCGUAAAGAGGUCUGAAUUGGUGUAACAGGUUCUGAUGUUACAAAGACACUCAUAUUUAUCUUGAAAAUCUGAAGCAAUGCUAUCUUCCUUAUGUCAUUCCUAAUAAAAAUAAACGAACAUUUGGUGGGUCACUACAAAAUGAAAAGUUUAAAUGCAGCCUGCUAUUUUCCUUUCUCAAAAACAAGACUGUGCUUCUUUGAUCUGUGCCAACAAAAUUGUAAAGGAGAAUUUUAUGAGAUUUUAUUAUAUAAGACUUUGGGGAAAAUAAAAUACAUCUGGCAAUAACAACUUGAUUAUGAUCCUUGUUAACAAUGCCACCAGAAACUGACAAUGGAAUUGUGUUGGAGGCUUAGAGAGAACACCUCUCUAGGCAUCACUGUGUCUUCCAAAGCAGUUAUAUUGUAUGCUGUGGCUGAAAGCCCAAGACAUUGUUUAUUUCACAUUAAAAAAUAGGGUACCAGAUUAUAUGCAAAACCAUAGUCCUGGAAUCUGAUUAUCCUAGCAGUUAACUUGGAGCUGUGUGUUUUUCCAUUAUGGCACACUAUUUUAUUUUUAAAAUAGUGCAAAACAAUGUUUUGAGAGAAGUUGAGAGAAUUGGGGGGGGUGGCUUUAACAAAGGGUCAGUUUCUUUUGGAAUGGAAUGAGUUUUGGGGAAGUUCUAGGCAGUGUCCUAAAUUGGUGAAUUAUGGUGGAGAAUGCUAUGAGCGAAGGAAGAUAGAUGCUUUUGAACUUUGGUGCUGGAGGAAAAUCCUGAGAGUGCCUUGGACUGCAAGAAGAUCCAACCAGUCCAUCCUCCAGGAAAUCAUGCACAGCUGUUCACUGGAAGGAAGGAUAUUAGAAGCAAAGAUGAAGUAUUUUGGCCACAUCAUGAGAAGACAGGAAAGCUUGGAAAAGAUCAUGAUGCUGAGAAAAUGGAAGGAAAAAGGGAGAGAGGCCGACCAAGGGCAAGAUGGAUGGAUGGUAUUGUUGAAAUGUCUGGCUUGACCUUGAAGGAACUGGGGGCGGCAACAGCCAACAGGGAGCUCUGGCCGUGGACUGGUCCAUGAGGUCACGAAGAGUCGGAGACGACUGAGUGAAUGAACAACAACAAUGCUACCAUGUUGCCAUUUGUUAAUUCUGGUUAGAAAAGGAAGCGUAUUUUAAUGCGUCCAGUGAUUCCUGUGAGAGUUAGUGUCAGGAUUUCCAUUAGCAGCAAGAUAACUCAUUAUGCACAUUUACCACAUGAAUCACUUCAUUAGACAAAUGGAUCUAGGAGAAUAAGCUAUGUUCUUAGAAGACUCUUCAGAGCUCUCACACAAACUGUUUAGUGAUAUAUAUUUGUCCUUGGUUAGGGAAACAAAGGAUUCCUUUGCAGUAAAGCGAACGAUUCAGGAAGUUCAUUUUCAUUCAAGAGCAAGGAGAGGAAAGACUAAAAAAAAAGACAGUGUUACAACGAAGCCUCACAUAAUUUUCUAAGGCUUAAGUAAAAGAUGCAUAGUUGUCAGCCAAGUCUUAACAUUGCUACUGCUGUAAAGUAUCGUAGUCCCCAUGCAGAAGUAUGCUUGCAACUGAAGUUUGUAGAAGCCAUGCUUGAUACAAAAUAGUUCCUUAUGUGCGUAAAAGGGUGCUGACUUAUGUAGUUUAAAUUACAGUUUUCUCCAUGUUGUUCCAGUUUGAAAUACAUUAAAAAUUUCCAAGUUAUUUGGUUAUUUUAAAUGCUUUCCCUUCUUCUAUCUCAGUAAUGAUUGGCCAUGAGUGAUAUGCAAUCCCUAAAGCUGUUUUCAGCCCUCUAGGGUGCUCUUUUGCCCAAAAUGAGGGGGUGAAUAUCUUCUCUGGAAUUUCACCUUUUUAAAAAAAUGCCAUACCGAUUAACUUAAACAAUGAUUCAUUUCUGAAAUCCAAGUGGGGAUUUCAUUAGGACCUGCUCUUCUAUUCAUCCUCUCCAUGUUCUUCUGGACAAAAUUUAGAAGUGGAUGGUCCCAUCUAUUACAGUACUUCUAUAUCUCUACCUAGCCCUCCCGUUUCCAUGACUCAGAAAGCCCUGACACAUUUUACUACCUGAAGUUGAUCCACCUUGCAAUGCUACAGCCAUGCAAAAAAAAAAAAUCCACACCAUUAAUACUUUGAUUCCUACUGUUAUCUAUUCUCUUCCCUCCUUCCCACAGCUAUGAUAAUUCUUAAAGUGGAUUACUUCAUGCUGUUGCAUGAAAGAGUGGUUCUCCCUGAGGCACAGUGGUUCUUUUAUCCUGAUGGUGGCUCCAAACGUUAAGAAGGGACAACUAUACACUAUUUUUCAUGUGCAAAUGUAUAACACAAAUAAUUACACCCCCCCAAGAGCUGAGAUUAUGUAUGAGCAUAAUAUGAUAUGAGCAGGGCCAUUCCUCAUAGGAAGUAUGCUCACAGUUAAGGUCAGCUCUGCCAACCUCAAGAUUACCCCAAACCCUUUCUACCUUAGUCUUUGCCUGCUGAAGAUAUGGCUAGAGAAGCUUAAGUAUUUGAAUAACUGAGUCAGAAAUUACACCUGUUAUUUUGUGGAAAAUAUGAUGGGGGUAUUGACUUUGUUAUUACAGGUAUUAUAUUCCAAAUGACAUUCUCCCUCUAAAAAAAUGAAAUUGUAAGGAUAAUUUUGGACACCCUGCAUUUCUAUCUUUUACACUCCUUGUCUAAAUCCCUUAUUUCUCAACAGGUCAAAGUACUUGGUAAACAUUUAAAAUAAGGAUGUCUAACUAUUGUUAGCAAGGCCUUUUCAUAAUACCAUAGCAUUAGAACCUAAAGCAGCUUUGUACAUGCAUACUUGUUGACAACAAAGAACCAUCUUUUCAUAAAUAACUCACCCUGACUCAUGAACAGUGUGCCAGAGAAAGGAAAAUGAGUGUAACUGCUUUAAGUGAUCCUGCCCACUAGGUUUAUUUCAUUAAUGUUUGCUUUCUAUUGUAAGUCAAGACUACAUUGUUCUUUCAAUGACAGGUGAUUACUAGAGGCUAGUUUCUGCCUGUUGCUAUGGUAAACGAGUUUAAAGAUAUACAGCACUGUUUCUUCUGAAAUUCAGGUAUUCACCCAAGCUUCAUUAAUGUGGACAUGUGAUAAAUUAUAGUAAUUAUCUUUCUCCUUCAAGAGUCUUGUCUCGUUUGUAUGUCGCACAGCUACAAUAAUCUCCCUCUUUCAACCUUACUGUAGUUAGUAGCAGUCAUUCCUGAUGUCUGCUUUACCCCUUCACCCUUACACUUUGAGAUAAGGAAGGCUAGGCCUUUAUUACAGUCCUUUUCAACUGAUUUGUUUUAUUUGGGAGGUGGCUCUCUUUAUCUUACACAGAUAGUUAUAGGUUUAAUACUAUAGACAAUCCCCAAGUUAUAGACAAUAGAGGUUCUGUACGUUAAUUCUUAAGUUGAACUUUUAUGUAAGUCGGAACAGGUACAUUUUUUAGGUGUAACACCAGCCCAAUAUAAAUAUUUUUUAGUUUUGGAUUGCAUAGGGAAGGAUUAACACCCCACACCCCUGUGGUUUUUGUUUUGUUGUCUGUGCCCCUGUUCAGAAGAUUUCCCAAAAAGCUCCCUUUUUGUCCCUGUGAUCAUUGAAUUUUUAAAAAUUUGGCUUGUUGUGGAAACAAGGAUUGGUGAUAAUAAUAAUUAUUAUUAACUUUAAUUAUACCCCGCCUUUCUCCCCAUUGAGAUUCAAGGCUACUAACAAUCCCACACUUUAGUCAAAUUUAAAAAGUGCAAUACAAAAGUUAAAAACAAUAAAAUAGUACAGUGUGGUAAAAACAGAUUAAAAUAGAAUACAGUAGAGUCUCACUUAUCCAACACUCACUUAUCCAACGUUCUGGAUUAUCCAACGCAUUUCUGUAGUCAAUGUUUUCAAUACAUCGUGAUAUUUUGGUGCUAAAUUCGUAAAUACAGUAAUUACAACAUAACAUUACUGCGUAUUGAACUACUUUUUCUGUCAAAUUUGUUGUAUAACAUGAUGUUUUGGUGCUUAAUUUGUAAAAUCAUAACCUAAUUUGAUGUUUAAUAGGCUUUUCCUUAAUCCCUCCUUAUUAUCCAACAUAUUUGCUUAUCCAACGUUCUGCCGGCCCCUUUAUGUUGGAUGAGUGAGACUCUACUGUAAAUACAUUCAAAAUUGCCUUUAAAACUCACCUACCCCCCCCCCCCCCCCCCGUAAUCCCACCCACAACCUCCCCAGAAGCCUGCCCCUUAUCCUUACCCAAAUGCCUUCUGGCAGGUCUUGAUUUGCCUGCAGAAGGCCAGAAAGGAAGGGGUUAUCCUGGUCUUUCUUGGGAGGAAGUUCCACAGUCUGGUAGCAGCCACUGAAAAGGCCCUCUCUCAUGUUCCUACCAAAUGUGCUUGAGCGGAUGGUGGGACAGAGAUAAGGCCCUCACCAGUAGAUCGAAGAUUAAACUUCAGUGGACACUUUUCCUCCAUGAUAACUCUUCCAGGUCUCUUGAAGGCCUGGUUUCCAAGGGUGUGUGAGUUUGAGAGGAGUGGGAUCCAUUUAGCCAAGGUAGUAUGGAAAACAAUGUCUUGAACAUUGCCCUGGCACAGUCAGUUGUUUAAGCAGCCUCCUUAGAGCACAUUAUAGUUGAUCACAUUCUUUUGUCAUCCUUUAUCUCCUCGCUGCAGCUACCCUUUCCUUUUGCAAUAUCCUUUGGCUCUGUUAUGUCAACAGCGCAAACAGUCUCAGCCAUAGGUUUUUACUGUCCUCCCACCUCACUAGCUGUUUAUCACAAUACAGAUCUCUAUGGUUUAUGCCAUCAUUAGUUAACUGUAGUAGAGAAAUAUACAAAAUGCCAAUGUCAUUUUAUUGGAUAAGUGAGCUCAUAUGUAAUCGGGGGAGAACCAUACAUGGGGGGUACUAUUUUUUACAGCAGUCUUAUGAGUGAGAGGUGAAAUACAAAAAAGCCAAGCAAUAUACCUAACCAAACAGUAACUUUUGGGUUUCUCUCUGUAUUUACCAACAAUGGAAGUGUUAAAUCGUUACGUUCCUUCUAUAGUGAUAAAAGAUGACCAUAGGAAAUACAACUUUUAUUGUGUCCAUGAAAUGAUCGUGGGAGACUAUUUCACAAUGUAAUAGCAUUUGGCAGACACCAAAAGAAACCCUGAGCUAGUCAGGGGACGCAAAUGUUUUGCUUAUUUCAGCAUCAUUUACAUUAUUUACUUGCUCUGCCACGGCCUUAGAAAGCAAGUUGCUAGAAACAAAAUAAAAAAAAUGGCGGGGACAUUCUUUCCAGUUUGUUUAAACACUGACAGAGAAACAGUGUGUCUAAUCAAUUGCAGAAGGAAAUAUUCAGCAUAAAAGAAAACACAUGGGCAUGUGUUAUCCCAAGACAAUACUAGCAGGAGGAGAGAGUGAGUAUACACAUGCUUUUCAUCACCUAGAAAGCAAAGCCAGGGAAAUCCUGGCCAGUGGCCAACAGAGUCAUAUAACAAUUGUUUCCUAUGCACGUAUAAGAUUCAUAAUGGCACAACUUGGAGAGUGGGUAAAGGUCCUAUUGGGGGAGCAACAUAUUCCUCUUCUCUCAGCAAUCGCAGCAGAAUGUUGUUUUUAUUUUGGGGCCAGUUGUAGAUGUGAGUGUUUUGAAGCCAGGUAGGUACGUGUUCCUGGGGAUAAAGGACAGCAGGAAAAAAAUUGAGAGGCAUGUAUGGAGAAGGAAUUCCUUUCCUGCUGUACUGCAGCUUUUCAGAAACUUGCAGUUACAGACUCACCCAGAAAGCGCUCCAUCCACUCUUUAAAGGGCCCAAUUCGGGAAGAAGCGAAUUUAGAAAGAGCUGCUGCUUUGUCUUUACAUUUUUCCCCAGUAUGGUUGUAAGAAAGGGUGAAGAGUAAAAUACUCUUUUUCACUUUUAAUGCUAAUAUGAAAUUAUUACACCAGUCUACAGAUGCUUGCAGAUGAUAGCAGGCAGUAUGAACAUGGCUCAUUGCCAGCAACUCUGCAUGACUGCUCAUGAAAAUAGAUUUUGGGUUCAAUGUACGUCAGAAGGCUAGAAGAAAAUGCCCAUUUGGAAGGAAACCUCUAGUUGACAGAUGUUGACAAUCACUAGUGUGUAAGGGAAAACGAUGAGCAUCAUAUAGACAACUUGUUGUACAAGUCCCAUAUAGCUGAAUGGAAGAACUGGACACAAACUGAGUACACACUCUCAAGUAAAUAAUGUUACUAAGGAGGUCAGAUCAUGCUGACUUCAACAACAAAUAUGUAAACAAUGUGCUUCAGUCCUCAAUUGGGCAUGAUAUGUUUCAUUAUUGAUAGAUCAGGCUUUUAUUUUUCAAUAACUGUAUUAAUGAAUAAUAAAUAUUUUAUUAUUUAUACUCAAAGGUAUAUAUAUGGCUGAUGGAGGACUGAUUUUUCCAGCUUUAUUUAUUUUAUUUCAUUUCAAAAGCAUUGCAUAAUAAAUAAAUUUAAAAAGUGAUGAAAUAAAGGAAAUCACAAGCAGCUAAAGAGUUUUAAACCAAAAGCGGGCAACAGCGACCACAUUGUCCAUGGCUUUAAACAACUCCUCCUCCGUACAUGAGGCAAGACAUUGUGGGCAAGCAUAGAUAUGCGGAGUUGUUUGUUCUGCUCUACAGUCGCACAAGGUGGAGGAUUCCUCCAGGUAGUGCCACUUUGCCAAGUUGUCUUUUGAUCUGCCCACUCCAUUUCUGAGUCUGUUCAGGGACUUCCAAGUUGCCCAUUCUUCAUUUGCCCCUGGAGGAAGACCCUCAUGGUUAGCCAUCCAGUUAGAAUUGCCUAGUUUAGCUGCCCAGAGGGACACCCUUGCUGUCAGGGCCGUAGCCAGAAAAAAAAUUUUGGGAGGGGUUUUGAAAUUUGUGGGGGGGGGGGGUUGAACCCCUACCCCCCCCCCCCCCCCGGCUACAGACCUGUCAAUAUCUGCUUGAGAUAGUACCUGGAGGGACUCUUAAUUUUUUGCAUCUCAUAGACUUAGCAUGGGGAUUUGCUAACCUGUUUGUGGUUAACCAGUUAAAAUUCAUGAGUAAACCAGGUUUUUUUUUUUAAAUCUGAAAAAUUUCGGGGUGUGUGUGGUGUGGUUUGAACCCCCCACCCCGGCUACAGGCCUGCUUGCUGUUGCUGGAGGAACAUCAAGAGGAGUGGUGGUUCUCAUGAAGCCCUUCUUUGAUUUGAGUCUUUUUCCAGUUGAUUUUUUUAAAUAAAAAAAAUAGCUAACUAGAAAUAAAUGCUUGCUAUGGAAGAGUCUGUCACUAUCUAACCCUCCAUCCAGUUCUCUCAUAUAUAUGGUACUUUAAAGGUUAUUCAGCCCUCACUAGUCUCUGCUAAAUUUGUAAUGUGGGAAAUCUAUGCAAGGCUCUAUUUUUGCUCAAUAUAGUUUAACAGUCCCUAGCUUUUGUAAUUUUUCAAAACACUUAGAACUACUGUCACAACAUAUGAACGAACACCAAUAGUUUUUAGUAUAUGAAUAUUCUUGACACAAACUAUAUGUCACAAAUUGCUGUGAAGCCGUCCUCUAAGAUGUUAUCAUUUCAAAUACCAAGAUCAUUUUAUUUAACAUGAUUUAACAGAAAAGGCUCUCAAACCUUACUGUGUUUUCAGCUAACAUAAAGUGUGAUUAAUUCAGUUAUUUACUUUUUACCUUUUUUGCAUUGGGAAAAAGCACAGGAAUGAAUCUAAAGUUCAUGCUUCCUUGCUGUAUGAACUCAAUCUGCAUCUAAGAAACCAAAACAAAGUUUUUAACAAGCAUUUUAUACUGCAAGCAUUUAAAGUUCCAAACAAUUCCACAUAUUGCAACAGACUUACAUUUCUAUGUUUGCUGUACCAAAUAGUUUCAAUCCAGCAAUGACAAACAUGUGCAGACAUGUUUGCCCUUCUGGUUUCAAAAUAACAGUCAUCACAGUAGUUCACCUUGCUUGACAUUGGGCCAAAGGCUACAAAUGUUUCCCUGAUCACUGCUAGUCCCCUGCCUGGAACUGAGUAAGCUGAGCAUAGUUUCCACCUCCCCACCCCCCACCCCCCAAGUAUGAACUGGUUUAGACAAUUCCUUACUGAACAACCCUAGCACUGGGUGGCUUAAUAGACUUGCUGUAUGGCUGAUGUACACUACAAAAGGAUCUCUAAAUAUUUGUGUCUAUAUUAUUUUAAAAGGAGCAGAGGGACACUUGCUUAUUAUGGAACUUGUGUUUUGUUGACAAGUGGAAAAUCAGGGUUGCAUUGGAUUGAAAAAAAUAACCUAGGGUUUUUGACCAGAUCAGAGGGCUGUAAACAUACCAGCGAUAUAUACAGUAGAGUCUCACUUAUCCAAGCCAAACGGGCCGGCAGGAGCUUGGAUAAGCGAAUAUCUUGGAUAAUAAGGAGAGAUUAAGGAAAAGCCUAUUAAACAUCAAAUUAGGUUAUGAUUUUACAAAUUAAGCACCAAAACAUCAUGUUAUACAACAAAUUUGACAGAAAAAGUAGUUCAAUACGCAGUAAUGUUAUGUUGUAAUUACUGUAUUUAUGAAUUUAGCACCAAAAUAUCAUGAUAUAUUGAAAACAUUGACUACAAAAAUGGCUUGGAUAAUCCAGAAGCUUGGAUAUGUGAGGCUUGGAUAAGUGAGACUCUACUGUAAUUCAGAAUGAUUUCCACACCAUCUAGAGUUUAUGUACGAUGUGUUUAGAAACAAAUCUGUUAGUGACUAAUCUAGGGACCUUUUCACACGGGCUGUGCCAUGUUGCCAGCAAAAGGGAAGGCACACGGGGCGGCUUGUGGCGCCCCAUGUGCAUUCCCUCCUCUCAUCAUAUGGUGGGGAUAGGAUAGGGUGCGUUGGUACCCUGUCCCUGUCCCCAUCAGAUGGGAGAAAGGCAGCAACUCAACUGCAAUGCGUGUUGCCCCUCUGCCCUUUCCACCAUCAUACAGGAAAAAGGGGAGGAAAAUGCAGGUAGCUUCAUCGGAGCUACCCAAAACACACUUUCCUCCCUGUAGUGGUGUAGGAAGUGCCUUUCGGAGAUUCCCCUCCACUUUGCGAGGAAUAUGGGUGGAGUCUGUUGUGCGUUGUGUGACAUCGCGCGGCAGGCCCCAUCCAAGCCGCAAAUAAAAGCGACAAAAUGGGGCUAUUCUGCCCUCUGUGAAGAGGUAGUAGAUGACUCGGGAUAAGAAAUUUCCAAGCCUUGGCAAAGCCUAGAGUAGAGGUUCUCAAACUUUUUCAGCCAUGGAGCCCUUUUUGAAGCAAACGUUUCUUGUGGAGCCCCAACUUCCCAAGAAAUGUUUAUAUAUUACCGUAUAUACUCGAGUAUAAGCCGACCCAAAUAUAAGCCAAGGCACCUAAUUUUAUCACAAAAAACUGGGAUAACUUAUUGACUCGAGUAUAAGCCGUGGGUGGGAAAUGCAGCAGUUACGGGUAGAAAUAGAAACUUUUAUUACGGUCAAUGACCAGCUUGUAACAGGGGUACCCAGUUCAUUGGAACACGCAGUUACGGCUAAAUUUCAAAAUAAAAAUAGAUACCAAUAAAAUUUCAUUAAUCAAGGCAUCAGUAGGUUAAAUGUUUUUGAAUAUUUACCGUAUUUCAGAGAAAAGCAACAAACUAGCUCUAUAAGUGGAAAAGUAGGGGCAACAAAAACAAUAUGGUAUGUUAUGGUUGAGCCUUCGGGCUCCGGUAAUAGAAGAAGGGGUCAUAAGACUCCUCGAGAGUCAGACUCUUUCGAGGAGCGUGAAAGAAAACGGCUCUGGGAUUUGUUUACAGACCCGACAGAUGAGGACUCAUUUGAGGGUUUUUCUGAGGGUUUGGAGGAAGAGAUGGCCAGCUCGGAGGAGGACGACAUGGAAUGGACUCGUGUGAGGGAGGAUUUGGGUGUUGGGGAAACAGGCAAUGAAAGCAUGGGAGGUGAUUGGCGGGUUGCAGGAUCAGACCCAUGGACUGGCUGGAGGGAUGGAGCGGGAUCCACAGCUGGGGAUGCUGUGGGGCGUAGUCAAAGGUGCUUAAGCUCUGAUGAGGAUGAUGAUGUUGGGGCACCUGGAAUUGGGAUGGCAGCUGACAGCGAUGAUGAGCUUGAACUGGGAUAAAUUGGGGUUUGGGACCAAUAUCUAAUUGCGUUGGGCAAGGUAAUCUGGACGGACGCUUGGGCUUUUGUUGGGGAACUUCCUGAAGACGGGUGUGAUUCGUUACUGGACACCUUGGACCUCCGUUGUCUUUUUGACGGGCAAUAUCUACUCGCACUGGAUUGACGCUGGACUGACUGACUUCGAUUCCGGAUUAUCCCUUCUGCUGGCUAUCGGUGAGACCUUUGGAUUUCCUAGACGACUACGCUUGGCUAUUGACCUCUGGACCGGAUUGGGACCCUGCUGACUGCCGUUACCCUAACUGCUGUGCCUGGACCUGGAUAUCGUUGGCCGCUGAACCUUAAACUGAAUCCUGACUACGACCACGCUUUUCGUUCACUGCAGGAAGGAAUAAACAAGCCUGGUUUAUUCUCCUGCUGUUUCUGAGUAGCAGAGAGGAAUCUGCUACCAGUCUGUUGUUUACAUUCUGACUCCUGUUGAUCCUCUUUUGUUUGCAUUGUUUGCCAGGCUGAAGUAAGCACUUUUGAUUUAAUCCGGAUUAUACUUCUGUUUAACCCGGUUUAUCCCUUUGAACCGUUUAAGCUCAAACUGAGCUGUUUUUUGUUACUUAUCACACUGAAGUCAAGUGUUUGCCCUGUUCUUUGUUUCCUACGUGCGUUUUUAGUUCUGUAACCUCAAUAAACUGAGUUUUGUUUUA